rnacentral:rRNA from 1 species
CACGUAGGCUGGCUGUUAAGUCGGUGGUGAAAUCCCGAGGCUCAACCUCGGAAUUGCCUUCGAUACUGACGGUCUUGAGUGCGGGAGAGGUGAGUGGAAUUCCCAGUGUAGAGGUGAAAUUCGUAGAUAUUGGGAAGAACACCAGUGGCGAAGGCGGCUCACUGGCCCGCAACUGACGCUGAGGUGCGAAAGCGUGGGAGCAAACA